CUCAUUCAUGUUUUUCUUACAUUACAAAGGUUCAGAAGCUAUCUGCUUCAUAAGUUACACUUUCCAUGCCCUCAGCAUGAUCUAAAUACUUCUUUCUGAGGUGUCUUAGUGACUUUCUCCUUACUUUCACCUUUUCUGAGCUCUUUUGGGCCGACAGCUUGAUCGUCGCUCUGUCACAGUCUUGGGCACCUUUACGAAUGAAGAAUCCAGGCAUUAUAUCCAAAUCUUCAAAAAUUUUGAGGAAAUAAAUGUCCCCAUCAUUGAAUUUUAGGACUGCUAAAUAGGUGACAAGAGCUACUCUUUCCUGCUCUACAUAGGUAGACUUUGGACAUCAGUCCCAGAUGACCCCGCCCAAACAUUCAUUUGCAUUUUGGGUCAAGCUAUGUGUGAUUUAUUCAACAAGACAGUGUUAGCCAAAUCAGCAAAUAUAAUCAACUCAACAAUGGGCUUUGAAAUACCAUUCUUGUGUUUAUAUGUUUCGCUAUCUCUUUGAUAGCCACACAAACUUUCCUUUCGGGCAAAGAUGAUGCUGCGGGUUCUCAUCAGUCGAAUCAACAUGGAGAAGAGAUGCCUUUACAGCUUGGCUUCUCUGUUUGCCAGACCGUAAUAAUUUUCUAGAACAUCUAUUUUACCAUCAGUAAGCUGACCUUUACCAGAUAUUCCUUUUCCAUCCGAAAGUUUUCUGGGUAGAACUAUUUUUAUGCACACAAACUGUAAAACAAUGUAAUGAGAAUAUCCAUGUUCAUCUCCACUGUCAGGACAUUUCAAAAUGUUAUCAAAGAUACCAAAUAAAAUUGACAAAUCCAUAAAUACUGUUCCUUUCCUUGUAGUGUCUAUGUAAUUUCGGUAUUAACACCAAAGUUUGCUGUCUGAGAGCCAAUUUUCGCUCUGGAAUGUCCAGCUUCUUUGUCACGAGAUUCGCCAUGUUUGAAUUUCUUCGCCGUCUUCGAAGGCGGAUUUUAUCGCUCUGUUCUUCGUAUUUUUCAUUUAUUGACUUCAAAUUACAAUCCAAAUAACAAAACGAAUCUUUGGGAAACUAGAACAGCAACUUUUCGACUUGGAAUUUAAGAAAAAACUAAGAUUUUUGUCGAUAAUUUCACAGUGAAUGCAAAUGCGAUCGAUCACAA